CCAUUCCACAAACACAGCCCCUACAUUCCCAGCCCCAGCCCUGUGUGGUCUUGGGGGAUAGGGGCUCAUACUUGUCUAGCUUUCUUAUCAGCACCAUCCACUAUCUGUGUCUCAACUGUAUUUACAUCUUCAGCCUGAAAAAGAAAUGGGGAAAGAGGACAAACAAGAAUGAGUUUAUUCCUUUCUUAGUUCUAGACCAUGCAAAAAACACUAGCUACAGGCACUAUGACACAAGGACCAGAGACAUCCAAGUCAAGGCUCCUCCCACCUCUACAUUAUUCUCUGAGGUCAGUGGUACUGAGGAUAAACUGGUCGGUUCCUCUUUCUGCUGAGACUCAUCUUCAGUGGGUUCAUUAAUAUUUUGAGGCUGGUCCUUCUCCUGCAAUCAGCAGUUAGGGAAAAGUCAAGAGUGAAGCUGUGCUCCCUCCCUCUGCAUUCAGUAUCUCUAGCUUCCAGGGCUUCCCAGAGUAUUCAUAUGCCAGGGGGAUCCCCUUAUCCUAAGAGAUUUAUGGAGACAUCCCUAAAAAGCCUGGUUUAUCUGUCUCUCACUUACUCACCAUUGGAUUGGGUGUAGAUGGUUCAAAUCCCCUCAGGUCUGUCUUCCUCUAGCCAUGGAUGGGUAGAUGAAGUGGAGGGGGAGACCUAUGAUGUCAUAAGGGCAGCUGUGACUCAGGCACAAGGAUGCUCCCAAUAGUUGAGCUGCAUCCAAGGAAAAGACAAAAGUGCUGUCCAUUCUUUUCUGCUGGAAAUGGCCAAAGCCCUGAAUACAAAAACCUGCUUUACAAGUAAUGCUGCAAGGAGUCCUUCAAGCUGAUAUGAAAGGAUGCUAAUUAAUAACAAAAACAUAUGAAAAUAUAAAGCACACUGGUAAAGUUUCAGGUGUACAAUAUAAUGAUUCAACAAUUCCGUACAUUGCUCAGUGCUCAUCACAGUCAUGAUCUCAUGGUUCUUGAGUUCGAGCCCCACAUCAGGAUCUGUGCUGACUGUGUGGAGCCUGCUUGGGAUUCUCUCUCCCCUGUCUCUGCUCCUCCCCAACUUGUGCUUUCUCUCUCUCAAAAUAAAUAAACUUAAAAAAAUUAAAACAAAACAAAAAACUUAAAGAGGAACCAAGUGGACAUUUUAUAACUGUAAAAUACAAUAUCUGAAAUAA